UACGGACGGGGCGAGCGUUGUUCGGAAUCAUUGGGCGUAAAGGGCGCGUAGGUGGUUCUGUAUGUCUACCGUGAAAGCGUACGGCUCAACCGUAUUUUGUCGGUAGAAACUGCAGGACUUGAGGCUGGGAGGGGCUGGUGGAAUUCCCUGUGUAGCGGUGAAAUGCGUAGAGAUGGGGGAGAACACUCGUGGCGAAGGCGGCCAGCUAGACCAGUUCUGACACUGAGGCGCGACAGCGUGGGGAGCAAACAGG
rnacentral:rRNA from 1 species